rnacentral:piRNA from 1 species
UGAAACUCAUGUUGAGAUUUAAUUGCCAGA